rnacentral:rRNA from 1 species
AGUGAACGCUGGCGGUAGGCCUAACACAUGCAAGUCGAACGGCAGCACAGUAAGAGCUUGCUCUUACGGGUGGCGAGUGGCGGACGGGUGAGGAAUACAUCGGAAUCUACUUUUUCGUGGGGGAUAUCGUAGGGAAACUUACGCUAAUACCGCAUACGUCCUACGGGUGAAAGCAGGGGAUCUUCGGACCUUUCGCGAUUGAAUGAGCCGAUGUCGGAUUAGCUAGUUGGCUGGGUAAAGGCCCACCAAGGCGACGAUCCGUAGCUGGUCUGAGAGGAUGAUCAGCCACACUGGAACUGAGACACGGUCCAGACUCCUACGGGAGGCAGCAGUGGGGAAUAUUGGACAAUGGGCGCAAGCCUGAUCCAGCCAUACCGCGUGAGUGAAGAAGGCCUUCGGGUUGUAAAGCCCUUUUGUUAGGAAAGAAAAGCAGCAGAUUAAUACCCCGCUGUUCUGACGGUACCCAAAGAAUAAGCACCGGCUAACUUCGUG